UGGCGGCGUGCUUAACACAUGCAAGUCGAGCGAUGAAGUUUCCUUCGGGAAACGGAUUAGCGGCGGACGGGUGAGUAACACGUGGGUAACCUGCCUCAUAGAGUGGAAUAGCCUUCCGAAAGGAAGAUUAAUACCGCAUAACGUUGAAAGAUGGCAUCAUCAUUCAACCAAAGGAGCAAUCCGCUAUGAGAUGGACCCGCGGCGCAUUAGCUAGUUGGUGGGGUAACGGCCUACCAAGGCGACGAUGCGUAGCCGACCUGAGAGGGUGAUCGGCCACAUUGGGACUGAGACACGGCCCAGACUCCUACGGGAGGCAGCAGUGGGGAAUAUUGCACAACGGGGGAAACCCUGAUGCAGCAACGCCGCGUGAGUGAUGAAGGUUUUCGGAUCGUAAAGCUCUGUCUUUGGGGAAGAUAAUGACGGUACCCAAGGAGGAAGCCACGGCUAACUACGUGCCAGCAGCCGCGGUAAUACGUAGGUGGCGAGCGUUAUCCGGAUUUACUGGGCGUAAAGGGAGCGUAGGCGGAUGAUUAAGUGGGAUGUGAAAUACCCAGGCUCAACUUGGGUGCUGCAUUCCAAACUGGUUAUCUAGAGUGCAGGAGAGGAGAGUGGAAUUCCUAGUGUAGCGGUGAAAUGCGUAGAGAUUAGGAAGAACACCAGUGGCGAAGGCGACUCUCUGGACUGUAACUGACGCUGAGGCUCGAAAGCGUGGGGAGCAAACAGGAUUUAGAUACCCUGGUAGUCCACGCCGUAAACGAUGAGUACUAGGUGUGGGGGUUUCAACACCUCCGUGCCGCCGCUAACGCAUUAAGUAUUCCGCCUGGGGAGUACGGUCGCAAGAUUAAAACUCAAAGGAAUUGACGGGGACCCGCACAAGUAGCGGAGCAUGUGGUUUAAUUCGAAGCAACGCGAAGAACCUUACCUACACUUGACAUCCCUUGCAUUACUCUUAAUCGAGGAAAUCCCUUCGGGGACAAGGUGACAGGUGGUGCAUGGUUGUCGUCAGCUCGUGUCGUGAGAUGUUGGGUUAAGUCCCGCAACGAGCGCAACCCUUGUCGUUAGUUACUACCAUUAAGUUGAGGACUCUAGCGAGACUGCCUGGGUUAACCAGGAGGAAGGUGGGGAUGACGUCAAAUCAUCAUGCCCCUUAUGUGUAGGGCUACACACGUGCUACAAUGGCUGGUACAGAGAGAUGCAAUACCGCGAGGUGGAGCCAAACUUAAAAACCAGUCUCAGUUCGGAUUGUAGGCUGAAACUCGCCUACAUGAAGCUGGAGUUACUAGUAAUCGCGAAUCAGAAUGUCGCGGUGAAUACGUUCCCGGGUCUUGUACACACCGCCCGUCACACCAUGAGAGUUGGCAAUACCCGAAGUCCGUGAGCUAACCGCAAGGAGGCAGCGGCCGAAGGUAGGGUCAGCGAUUGGGGUGAAGU
rnacentral:rRNA from 1 species